GGCCUUUAGCAGUUUUCAUAAAAAAUUGUUGACUGAUUUAUUUCUACUGGAAUAAGACCCCAUUGAUUAAAAAAAAAAAAUUUAACAUUUAGGAGUAACAAAAUUUUAUUUAUUAGGCUUAUUAUAUGCUUCUAGCACAGCUCUUUAUUGUAGAUUUCACUGUUAAAGGCCUAGGGGAUCUGUCACCAGUUUAAGGGGGACUAUCGAACAUGCACAGCCCAAGGGACAGGGGGUUAGUCUUUCGCAAGACUUGAGCAAUGGCAGGCAAAACUAUAAAGCAAGCAGCAAGUUGUAACAAUUUUAUAUAGAAACAGGUCAAAAUAAUAAUAAUAAUGCCAAAACAAUUUACAAACAAAUAAAGUCCAAAUGUUCCAAAUAUUAAAGUCACUAAAUUCACUAAUCCAUUCAAAGUUUAAGUUAAAGUCCAAAAUGUUCAAAAUAUUCCAAGUUAAUGUUGUCUGGCUUGAAACAGUUACAGUUGUGUUGAGCUGUCUUUUGAGUACGGGUUUCUCCUGAGUAGCUGAGCCUGGUUGGCUUUGGAAGCACUCCUUUUUGAAUGACACUGACUAGACUACACUGGUGACUACAUCUUGACUACAUUGUGACUACAUUGUGACUUCCUGGAUUUCAAAAACUGAUCGUACAAUUUAUAGCAUUUCUAACAAGAGCUCAAAUUAUGACGAGUAUUACUAACUUUAAGUUUAUGUAAUUUGAGUAAUCAAAAUUUACUACAAAACUGCCAAAGGUAAAAUAUGAGAAUAGUGUCAAUUUAAUUAAGCCA
rnacentral:lncRNA from 1 species